rnacentral:rRNA from 1 species
AUGAACGCUAGCGACAGGCCUAACACAUGCAAGUCGAGGGGCAGCACAAGGAGCAAUCUGAGGUGGCGACCGGCGCACGGGUGAGUAACACGUAUGCAACCUGCCUGUAAGCGGGGAAUAACCCGUUGAAAGACGGACUAAUACCGCAUAAUACUAAAUUACUGCAUGGUAAUUUAUUUUAAACAUUUUAUGGCUUACAGAUGGGCAUGCGCAUGAUUAGCUAGUUGGAGAGGUAACGGCUCCCCAAGGCAACGAUCAUUAGGGGUUCUGAGAGGAAGGUCCCCCACACUGGUACUGAGACACGGACCAGACUCCUACGGGAGGCAGCAGUGAGGAAUAUUGGUCAAUGGACGAGAGUCUGAACCAGCCAAGUCGCGUGCAGGAAGAAUGUCCCUAUGGAUUGUAAACUGCUUUUGCAGGGGAAUAAAGUGCAUCACGUGUGAUGUUUUGUAUGUACUCUGCGAAUAAGGAUCGGCUAACUCCGUGCCAGCCGCCGC